rnacentral:lncRNA from 1 species
GAACUCUCGAACUCGCAAUGAAUCCUUCGUGCUUGACUCCGAUACUUUGUUUUGCUUUAUGUCUUCGUCGUUAUCGUAGUUAAUCCUGCACACACAAGCAAAAACUCUACUCCGAUCUAGACAAUUAUUAUAAAGCGAAUUGACAUUCUGUUGCCCGGCACGUCAUUGGUUGGCGCUUCGUCCGAUUCUUCGGCGCAUCAUCCUCUCUUGCGGCUUGUUGCCCAAUCAGCGGUUGACCUCCGCAACGCCGAUAUCCUUGGCACAGUUUCGCUCUCCUUGGCCCGAUGCCCGACGUUCGAAGCGUUCAGCCAUCCAAUAUCCUAACGUGAUCUCUUCCAGCGCAACGUCAAUUCCUCCUGCGUCAACUGUCUAAACCUGAUCGAGUAGACCUGCAUCACUCAAAAUACAGUUAAACAUCUAAACACAAUCAAUUAGUUUCAUCAUCAAAAUCUGAGAUUCAACAAUCUCCCCCUUUUUGAUGAUGACAACUAAUUGAUGACUAACGGAGUUAACCUUAACUCCCGGAGUUUAAACAAACUCCCCCUAUCAAUAUGCCAUAUUGAUAGAACCUUGAAUUCAAACAGAAUUCAAGUCAUUGCAAUAUUCAUCAUGAAUACUUGCAACACAUCAUCAUGAACAUAUGCAUAAAACUUAUGCAUCAUAUGUCAUGUCAUCAACAUACUUCUCCCCCUUUGUCAUCAACAAAAAGGAGAAGUACCAUAAUCAAGUGUUUGUUAUAUGGGUUCAACUUAUUGCAUGAAAAACAUAAUAUCAAGUUUUAUCAUCAUGCAAUCUAACGAUUAAAGAUGUGUAAGUUUAACAUGCUUGGUCUUCUUGAGAUAGCUAUUGAUUGCUUCUCUUUAGACUACUAGCUAGCAGUUUUCACGAUAUGCAAGUUGCAAGCUAGCAAAUUUUUGCUUCCUUUGCAAUGUUUGAGCUAGCAAUUUUGCUUCUGUAGCAAGUUAGCAUAUUUUGCAUUUUGAGAUAGCAACUAUUGGCUUCUCUUUAGACUAUAAGAUAGCAAUUUUUACACUAUGCAAGUUUUACUACAUACAAGCUAGCAAAAAAAAUUACGAAAGCAAAUACAAGAUAGCUUUCUUGUGUAAGCUCAUGAUUCUUGCUUCUUAUUGCAAUGUGCAAGUUGCAAGUUUUGCUUCUUUUGCAAUGUGUAAGUUUUCAAAUUUUGCAUCUUGAGCGAGCAAUAUUUCUCCCCC